CCCUCUGAUUUCCUUUAAUACCAAGAGAAAAUGACUAUGCCUCAGGAAUGACCAAGAGGACUGAGCACCCAGGAUGAGUUCAGUGUGGAGUCAAAUAAAAAGGAUGCCUGAGAAUCCGACAGCAAGGCUUCUAUGGGAGAAACUCCAUCCCCCGUGGGAGGUUCCGUGAGCAGCUCCCCGAAGUUCUUGUUUCUUCGCUCUGUCUCAAAGCAAGCACUUGGGAUCCCAGCCAGCAGCCCCGCAGCACCCAAAACUGUGAGGAGAGAGAGGCAUGACACCUCCUAAAUCAAAAAAUGGCAACCCAAGGCAACAAUCAC
rnacentral:lncRNA from 1 species